AUCUACCACCUUAAUAUUCAAACGGCACCAGAUCCCAUGUGAUAUUGAUAGCUAAACACAGUUAGCCCUAGUUAGUAUUGAGAUGGUAGACCACCAACAAAUACCAAGUGUUUUAGGCC
rnacentral:rRNA from 11 species